GGUUGGAACCUCCAGUAGUCAUAUGCUUUGUUCAAGGGCUAAGCCAUGCAAGUCUCAGCGCACAUGGUUCGACAGUGGGUCUGUGAAUGGCUCCUUACAUCAGCAGUCAUCUCCGCGAUAGAGUGUGGUUGGCACCACCUCUGCCCAUCGGUGCUCAGUUGGACAUCCACCAAAACCUUGUGGCUAAUACACGUUCGCCCAGGUCGGCCACGGAACACACUUGGGUUCAGGCGUUUCCCCGCCCGUCCCCGAUCACAAGGGGUGUGGUGGCGGAUGGCACCCAGCCGGUACGAAGACCAGCGCCCCUCACCGGGCAGUGUGUGGUGGUUGACUCAGGCUGGUCCCUCCUGGGACGGUCGCACUGGCAGAGUUUCGGUGGCCCCGUCAAACGGGUCACAGCCUCAGCUUGAUCGCACGAACUUCUGACCUAUCAGCCUGGACUGUGGUGUCGUGGACCCCAGUGGCCUUGACGGGUAACGGAGAAUCAGGGUUCGAUUCCGGAGAGGGAGCCUGAGAGACGGCUACCACUACCAAGGUGGGCAGCAGGCGCGCAAAUUGCCCAAUGCAAACAAAGUCUGCGAGGCAGCGACGAACUGCAGCAAUUCCACUGGUCUUCUUCACCAGUGGAACUUGGAAUGGAUGCAAUCCAAAGACAGUGAUGAGUAACAACUGGAGGGCAAGUCUGGUGCCAGCAGCUGCGGUAAUUCCAGCUCCAAGGGCGUAUACUAACAUUGCUGCGGUUAAAACGCUUGUAGUCUGCCACUGGGUUGCAGGUCUGCCGGGCGGCCACGCCGCGAUGCGGUGGGUCGGUGCCGCGGUGUCCCCCCUCGCCCUCGGGCGUGUGGGGGCCCGCGUGCGCUGCCCGCGGUCGCCGGCGUGGGCAAAACCCCCGGUGGUAUGCUCCUGCACCCGCCAAGUUCGCUCGCGAUGGUGAGAACUGCUCCUGCCGAAAGCCUCCUUCACUGGAGGUCCCCAGCGGGUUCGCCCCGAACGCAGGCGUGCGACAGCCACAGGCAGACCGGUGCCUCCAUGCCCGUGCCCGGUACCGUUUGCAACUGCCCGUCCACCUCCGGAGUCCACCAUCACAGACACCGUGGAAAACUCAGUGUGCUCAAGGCGUCCACCACUCGGCUGGAUGCCCGUCCAUGGCAUGUCACCGCACCGACCAAGCGCGGCAUUUGGAGUUGUGCUGGCCUUGGCGCCCGCUCUGGGCAAUGUGGUGCGUGCACCGGCGUCCCGCCCGCGUCCGGCUGCCCUCCCCCUCGCCCCGCACCGGCCCUCGGGCUGGCGUUGGGGUGCUGGGUGCGUGGGCACCGUGCGGGUGGCUGGCGUCCGGCCGUGCGCAUCGACCGAAUCCGAUGGGACCAGUCAGGGUGAAGGGUACUACAGCGCCAGAGGUGAAAUUCUUAGACCGCUGCAAGACCCACGGCGGCGAAGGCGCUCUGCAAGGCUGUGUUCGUCGAUCAAGAACGAGAGUCCGGGGAGCAAAGAUGAUCAGACACCGUCGUAGUCCGGCACCGUCAACUGUGCCAGCUCGGCCUCGGCUGGGAAAGUCCAUCGACCCAGCCGGGGCCACGCCCCCUCCAACGAGAAAUCCAAGCCCAUGGGUUCCGGGGGGAGUACUGUCGCAAGGCUGAAACUUAAAGGAAUUGACGGAAUGGCACCACAAGGCGUGGAGUAUGCGGCUUAAUUUGACUCAACACGGGGAAUGUUACCAGGUCAGGACACUGCCAGGAUGGACAGACUGAGAGCUCUUUCUCGAUUCGGUGGACGGUGGUGCAUGGCCGCUCCUGAUUGGUGGAGUGAUUUGUCUGGUUGAUUCCGAUAACGAGUGAGACAUCUGCCUCCCACUAGCCUCGGGCUCGCAUUUGGUAGGGUUCUGGCCCGCCCGGCGGCGGCCGCGCGAAGCCCCCUCGCGGGGGUGGAGCGUGGACACGUGCCUGCGGGUCGCCCGAGAGCCCCGAGUGUCAAGCUUCUCUGAGGUGCUGCGCACGCCACCAAGUGCACGCAUGCUAGAGCCAACAGCAGGUCUGUGAUGCUCCCAGAUGUCCUGGGCCGCACGCGCACUACAUUGAUUCAGUGAAGGUGUCACCUCCCGCUGGCGCUUCCGUCCAGCCCUGCCCGGACGUGGGUGGGAAACCCUGCAAGUCUGAGUCGUACUGGGGAUAGAUGAUUGCAACUGUCUGCCUUGAACGUGGAAUGCCUAGUAGGCGUGAGUCAUCAGCUCACACCGAUUGUGUCCCUGCCAUUUGUACACACCGCCCGUCGUUGCUACCGAUGGCGGCUGGAUAAAGCCAUUCGGAGGCCGGGUCGCCCCGUCGCGGCCCAGCCGAAAUCGGGCGAUGUCCAGCUGCUAGAGGAAGCAAAAG
rnacentral:rRNA from 1 species